GUUACGGUGGCCGAGUGGUUAAGGCGAUGCNCAACUAGGCAUUGGGUUUUACCUGCGCAGGUUCGAAUCCUGUCCGUGACG
rnacentral:tRNA from 1 species